rnacentral:rRNA from 1 species
GACGAACGCUGGCGGCGUGCUUAACACAUGCAAGUCGAACGGAAAGGCCCUGCUUUUGUGGGGUGCUCGAGUGGCGAACGGGUGAGUAACACGUGAGUAACCUGCCCUUGACUUUGGGAUAACUUCAGGAAACUGGGGCUAAUACCGGAUAGGAGCUCCUGCUGCAUGGUGGGGGUUGGAAAGUUUCGGCGGUUGGGGAUGGACUCGCGGCUUAUCAGCUUGUUGGUGGGGUAGUGGCUUACCAAGGCUUUGACGGGUAGCCGGCCUGAGAGGGUGACCGGCCACAUUGGGACUGAGAUACGGCCCAGACUCCUACGGGAGGCAGCAGUGGGGAAUAUUGCACAAUGGGCGGAAGCCUGAUGCAGCAACGCCGCGUGCGGGAUGACGGCCUUCGGGUGGUAAACCGAUUUCGCCUGUGACGAAGCGUGAGUGACGGUAAUGGGUAAAGAAGCACCGGCUAACUACGU